CACGGAGACUGUUGUAUCACUCAUAGAGUUUUUUCCGGUAUCUUGCGAUCUGAUGUCAUGUGCAUGGCUUGUGGUUUCACAUCCACAACAUAUGAUCCAUGUGUGGACAUCUCACUGGAUUUAGAACCUCACCAAGGGGGUCCUGCAAAGUCAGCUUCUAUGAAGACUCAUCCUUCUUGCAAUGGUGAGGCAGAUAGCUUGAAUUCAGGCCAAAACUGUGGGAUAUCUACCCUAAUGGGAUGUUUGGACCGGUUUACUAGACCCGAAAGAUUGGGAGCUGACCAAAAAUUCUUCUGCCAACAAUGUCAGGUGAGGCAGGAGUC
rnacentral:misc_RNA from 1 species